AUAGGAAAUUUAAGAGCAUAUGGUGGAUGCCUUGGCUUUAAGAGGCGAUGAAGGACGCGACAGGCUGCGAUAAGCUUCGGGGAGGUGCCUAUGACCGUUAUAUCCGAAGAUUUCCGAAUGGGGAAACCCCUCUCUUUCGAGAGAGACACAUAACUUGAUUAUGUGAGCGCACCCUGGGAAGUAAAACAUUUCAGUACCAGGAGGAAAAGAGACAAAAUUGAAUUUCGCAAGUAGCGGCGAGCGAAAACGAAAUAGCCCAAACUCAUCCUUUAUCAUACGGCGCACGUAAGUGUUUCGUAUGAUAAAGGAUGGGGGUUGUAAGGUGGGGACGUGAUAUUUAUAUCAGAAAAGUUACAAAAUUAUUUAAUAGUAGAAUGUUCUGGAAAGAACAGCCCUAGUAGGUGAUAGCCCUGUAGACGAAAUUAAAUAGUCUUUUAUGUUCCCAUUCUUGAGUACCUCGAGACACGAAUAGCUCGGGGGAAUCCGCCGGAACUAACCGGCAAGGCUAAAUACUCUUUUAGACCGAUAGUGAACUAGUACCGUGAGGGAAAGGUGAAAAGUAGCCCGUUAAGGGCGUUGAAAUAAUCCUGAAACCAUAUGUUUACAAGGAGUCGAAGCGGGUGCAAAUCCGCGACGGCGUGCCUAUUGAAGAAUGAGCCAACGAGUUUUAGCAUACUGCAGGCUAAGGUCGAGAGACUGGAGCCAUAGGGAAACCGAGUAUGAAUAGUGCGAUCGUAGUAUGCUAAAGACCCGAAGCCAGGUGAGCUUGCCUUGAGCAGGUUGAAAUAACUCGAAAGAGUUAUGGAGGACCGAACGAUAGAGUUGUGCAAUUCUCUUCGAUGACUUGAGGUAAGGAGUGAAAAGCUAAUCGAACCUGGUAAUAGCUGGUUUUCUCCGAAAUAGCUUUUGGGCUAGCGUUAGACGUACCCACGUGGGGUAGAGCACUGGAAGGUCUUGACAGGUCGAAAGAUCCCGAGACCUAUCAAACUCCGAAUACACGUGGUCAAAUAUCUAGCAGUUAGACGGUGGGGGCUAAGCUCCAUGCGUCAAAAGGGAAACAGCCCGGACCUCCAUUUAAGGUCCCUAAAUCUAUGUUAAGUACGCUUAAGGUGGUGAAGUUUCUUAAACAAUGAGGAUGUUGGCUUAGAAGCAGCCAUCAUUUAAAGAAAGCGUAACAGCUCACUCAUCGAGAGACUUUGCGCCGCAGAUAAUCGGGGUUUAAACAUAGUACCGAAACUGAGGAUGCGUUCUUUCUUCGGAAAGAUCGCGUGGUAGGAGAAUUUUCUGUUCUGCGUUGAAGGUAAAGGGGUGACCCAUACUGGAGCGUACAGAAGUAAGAAUGUUGGCACAAGUAACCGCAAUGCGGGUGAGAUACCCGCACGUCGAAAGAUCAAGGUUUCCUUUGCGAUGUAGAUCAGCGAAGGGUUAGUCGGGCCUAAGGGAAUGGCAAACGCCGUACCCGAUGGACACAUGGUUAAUAUUCCAUGACUUUUACGUAGAAUGAGGGAGGGACGAAGUGCAGUAUGUAUCGCAUGUUAUUGGAUUUGUGUGCAUUCUAUAAGGACGCUCUCUAGGUAAAUCCGGAGACUGAUUUGAAUAUCGGGUCUAAGUAGCGUGCAAAUGUUGGGGUUCGCCCUUGCAAAUGAUACAAAGCGCGCUUUCGAGAAAAUCUUCUAAGUUUAUCUACGUAAAAUCCGUACCGUAAACCGACACAGGUGAUCAGGGCGAGUAGCCCAAGACGAACGAGUGAGAGGUCUCCAAGGAACUCGGCAAAAAAGCAGCCGUAACUUCGGAAUAAGGCUUGCCCAUAUUUAUAUGGGCCGCAGCGAAAGUAUCUCUGGCGACUGUUUAUCAAAAACACAGCUCCCUGCGAACACGUAAGUGGAUGUAUAGGGGGUGACACUUGACCAAUGCCGGUAGGUCAAACAACGGCGGUGCGAUUAUAUCAAGCUGACUGUUGUAAGCCCCGGUGAAUGUCGGCCGUAACUAUAACGGUCCUAAGGUUCUCGGUUUAUCUUCGGAUAAAUCGAGACGGACUAGGACUGUUAUAUAGCAAAAGUGUAGUUUGAGAGAAAACAGAUCAAAUAUGUUACAUAAACAAGCUACCUGCAAUUCAAGAAAUUGAUUGUGGAGUCCAUGUGGGCAAAUAGAGACCAGCACCACACAUCCGACUUCCGAAAGGGAAGGAUGAAGAUAGAGUCCUACUGUGCUUAAAGGAAUAGUAGAGCGAAAUUCCUUGUCAGGUAAGUUCUGACGCGCACGAAUAGUGUAACGACUGGAGAACUGUCUCGGAGACUUGCUCGGUGAAAAUACAGUACCGGUGAAGAUGCCGGUUACCUGCAGUUAGACGAAAAGACCCUAGAAGCUUUACUGCAAUUUUUCGUUGAGUGUAUGUUUAUUAUGCGUAGCGUAGACGGUAGAGGUUGAAGUAUCCCUUUCGGGGGGUAUGGACUCGUCGAUGAAACACCGUUCUUAAUUGAUAUACAUUCUAACCACAGUGGAAAAACCACCGUGAGACAGCGGAUGAUGGGCAGUUUUAGUGGGGCGCUAUCCUCCUAAAAAGUAACGGAGGAGCCUAUUAAGGUCAGCUAGCCGUGAAUGGAAACCAUGGCGAUAGUGUAUAGGCACAAGCUGGCUUGACUGUGAGACGUACUUGUCGAGCAGACGCGAAAGCGGAGCUAAGUGAACCGACCUUUCGCAUUAGAUGCGGGGGAAGAUUAUCGGAUAAAAGCUACUCUAGGGAUAACAGGCUGGUUGCGCCUGAGCGUUCAUAGCGGCGGCGCAGUUCGGCACCUCGAUGUCGGCUCAACUUAUCCUGGGGCUGGAGAAGGUCCCAAGGGUUUGGCUGUUCGCCAAUUAAAAAGUUACGCGAGCUGGGUUCAGACCGUACAGAAGGGAGAAGGUUACAUC
rnacentral:rRNA from 1 species